GACAUAUGCUCACACUCUAAGCCAUAAAACAGUCCAUUCACCAACACAUGCAUAAUAUAUACAUUCACAACAUUAUGCAUAUUUUCACACAUCAUCAGCACAUGUAUCAAACGUCAUAUCAUGUCAAAUAAUUAAUCACAGUAUUAGCACACUCCACUAAUACCUAUACUACUCAAAACAGCGGGAAUUAAUCCCUAUUACAUCAUACGCCAAUAUAGGCCAAACACCAAUUAUGCACACAUUAUU
rnacentral:lncRNA from 1 species